rnacentral:rRNA from 1 species
UGGGGAAUAUUGGACAAUGGGCGCAAGCCUGAUCCAGCCAUGCCACGUGAGUGAUGAAGGCCUUAGGGUUGUAAAGCUCUUUCGUCAGGGAAGAUAAUGACGGUACCUGAAGAAGAAGCCCCGGCUAACUUCGUGCCAGCAGCCGCGGUAAUACGAAGGGGGCUAGCGUUGCUCGGAAUCACUGGGCGUAAAGCGCACGUAGGCGGCUUUCUAAGUCAGGGGUGAAAUCCCGGAGCUCAACUCCGGAACUGCCUUUGAUACUGGAAAGCUUGAGUUCGGGAGAGGUGAGUGGAACUGCGAGUGUAGAGGUGAAAUUCGUAGAUAUUCGCAAGAACACCAGUGGCGAAGGCGGCUCACUGGCCCGAUACUGACGCUGAGGUGCGAAAGCGUGGGGAGCAAACA